rnacentral:rRNA from 1 species
GGCUCAGGAUGAACGCUAGCUACAGGCUUAACACAUGCAAGUCGAGGGGCAGCGGGAUUGAAGCUUGCUUCAAUUGCCGGCGACCGGCGCACGGGUGAGUAACGCGUAUCCAACCUUCCGUACACUCAGGGAUAGCCUUUCGAAAGAAAGAUUAAUACCUGAUGGUAUGAUGAGAUUGCAUGAUAGCAUCAUUAAAGAUUUAUCGGUGUACGAUGGGGAUGCGUUCCAUUAGGUAGUAGGCGGGGUAACGGCCCACCUAGCCUGCGAUGGAUAGGGGUUCUGAGAGGAAGGUCCCCCACAUUGGAACUGAGACACGGUCCAAACUCCUGCGGGAGGCAGCAGUGAGGAAUAUUGGUCAAUGGGCGAGAGCCUGAACCAGCCAAGUAGCGUGAAGGAUGAAGGUCCUACGGAUUGUAAACUUCUUUUAUACGGGAAUAAAGUUUCCUACGUGUAGGAUUUUGUAUGUACCGUAUGAAUAAGCAUCGGCUAACUCCGUG